CAGGAAAAAGGAAAAUUAUCUGUUUAGAUCUGGAGAUCUUAUAUUGGUAUGGGAUAUUACAACACUGCUAUCCCCCACACCAUCCUGAGGAAUAUGUUCGAAAAUCCAGGGUGGACGACCCAGUAUACACCAUAUCAGCCAGAGAUUGCACAGGGACGUCUUGAAUCUUUGUUGAACUACCAGACAAUCAUAACAGACCUCACAGGUUUGGAUGUUGCAAAUGCUUCUCUACUUGAU